CUCACAUAUGCUCUCUCUCUCCAAAAUAAAUAAACAUUAAAAAAAAAAAGAAAAAGAAAGACUUCUAUUUCUUUACCCAGAUCAUUCCCUAUGAACUAAAAGGAUUCAGAAUUUUUAAUAUUUUUAAUAAUCCAGGAGCUUCUGUGCCUCCUCACUGAAAAAGCAUGUCAGGGAUGGGUCUGAGAUAAAAUCCAGGUACCCCAAAACUAAGUUCCCCAGGUUAUCCCUUGUGCCUUUAUUAAAAAGUGAGGGAGGUGGUUCCUAAACAAAAGAUGGUUUUAAUUCCUUCCACGGUGCUAGAUUGUGAACAACUGAUUUAGACACAUUCUACAUAACAUUUGUCAAGAAAUCAAACAUCUGUUUUUACCAGAAUGUAGUCUGACCAUUGUUCCCUCGCAGUUCGAAGGGCUGCCUGCCGCAGUUUCAUCACAUGGGCAAACCGGGAGCCUGGCCAAUGCUUUGGUCCAAUUUCAUCAGGGCUUCGUGGCAGAUGAACAAAUUCUCCAGAUGUGGUCGGAGGUCCAUGCACACCGGUCUUUGAUCUCCUGCCCUGUUCCAGGGGAAGAGCAGCGCUGACCACACCAGCCCACUGAGGAAGACUUGCCAUCCCCCCCUCAAGACAAACUGCUCUGUCCCUCCACGCCCCUGGCACAGGCGAAUAAACAGAAACCCAGGGAGACACUCUAA